UUCAUAAUUAUUUUUUAUUUUCUUUUAAACGAUUCAAAUAAAAUAUCCAUAACAAAAUUCUUUUGGGAACUACUGACUUCUGGACAGAUUUCAAAUCCAUGCACAAGUUACGAAAUAAUACUAAAAAAAAUUAAAACUAAGGUUGUCUAUUUAAUUCUCUAAAUCACUUGGCACAUGAAUUUUCCAUCGUUCAUCACAUUCAGACAGUAUAUAUUUUUGAACAAAGCUAUUUGGUUUCAUAAUUAGCACUUUCCACAUACAUGGUGGAUUGUCAGUAAGUUGGUACUUUAGAAGUGACGUAUUUUGUCGCAUUUUGAGUUCAUAGUAAAAGGCAACUACGCAAAUAACAUUUGUUCAAAAAUCUAAACCAUUCAAACUAAACUGUCACACACAGAUACGUUAUUAUUAAAAAAAUGUAAAUUUUGAUUAACAAUUUCUAGGAACUAAUUAAAAGAAAACUUAACAUUGUCAAUUGAAUGUGAAUCAAGAUCAAAAUAGCUGUUAAUUUGUGAAUUUUUUGGAAUCUACGCAUUCUGUGUGUUUUAAGGAACAAAUGAACUAUUCUUCCUUUAGAUUUUUGUUACCAAACCCUGUUUUCAACUUCUUUUCCAUCGUCUGGAGAAAAGCCCAGAUUCAGGUAUUAAGGCACCAAGUCACACAGUUCCUUUGGAACUAUAAAUACUGUUUUUCUUACUGUGUUCACUUGUUUAGUGUUCAAACCUUCUACUGAAAUAUAAAGAUACAUUUAAAACAAAGAAUACUACCGAAUCAUCACUAUACCUGUUCACAAAGUUGUAGAACUAAACAGUUCCUGUCAUUUUAUAAAUGUCAAAUGUCAAUGUUAAAUAUCAAUGUCAAAUGUCAAUGUCAAAAAUAUAAAAUAAAUCACUGGGUGUUGUAACUAUACCAGUUUGUCUUUAAUGGAAGAAACUAAAGUAACACACAUUUAUUUAAAAAAAAAUUGAAUGAAAUGUGUGGUAUUCUUUUAGACUGUUAAUACAGAACUUAUAGAUAUUUUUCGGUAGUAUUGUUUUGAAAAUCAAAAAUAUAUUAGCCUAGAAUAAUUCCUUUCUCAAAAUAUUCGAGAAAAAAUUUUAAUACUUAGAAUAACUCCUUUCUCAAAGUAUUUGAGAAAAAAAUUUAAUACUGCUAUAAAAUAUUUCCUUGUAUGUCUAAGUUUUAAAUUUCAAGUUGAAUAGAUCUUUUAGAAUAUUAUGAUUUUUAGAAAACUAGCAAUUUUACUUUAUGUGCAACAACUUCAUAUAUUCUAAAGAUUUAUUGGCCAGAAUACACCUAUUUGCUACAACAAAAUACUUUUUAUAUGAAUCACAACAAUCAGGUAUUCUGUUAGAGUAUAUUGCUUAAGUAUUAUAUUAUUUUUUAUAAAAAUAAAUUUUAUCACACAAAAUUUAAUUAUUAUUAUCCCGAGCCAAAAUUUAAUAUAUCAAUCUGUGAGGGUGAUUUGACAUUAAUCUAAACUACUUACGGAGAGCACCGUCAUAACCAAUAGUGAAAUUUUGGAAAACAGAAUUUUUUCGUUGUCGUCUGAUGAUAGAUUUAAGAGUCUCACAAACUGUCACGACCCAGAGUCCAAGAUGUGAUCACAUCAGAUCAAAGAAUCAAAAUCGUUAAGAGGCUCUAAACAUAUUGAUAAGCAUAUAAGAACUGUUCAAGGAAAUUGAGCCGAGUUUGAUCACUCUCAACCAAAAACAAACAAGAGCGUUGGAUUCGGAGAAUUUUUUUACAACGUUAAAACGCAAUUCAAAAGAUUUUGUGCGAUGAUACCUGUCCAAUGAACAGUCAAAGCAGUGAAGAAAAAGAUGCAAAAGUCCAUUGAAGAAGGCAAAUACCACUCGAUUGUCCAGAAACGCGAGGUACGCUGUUUUUGGAAUGGAAAAAUGGCCAAAUGACCAAACAUGACUCGUCAAUGUCAUUCGUUGAACGAGUAAGAACGUCUACAAGAGGGUAGGUAGCUUACAAAUCUUUGGAAUGGUGGAGGAAUUCACCAGGACAAAGACAGGUGGAACAGUUCAUUACAGAACAUUCACCAAAAUAUAUGGCAGACCUAAUAAGCAAAGACAAGAAAACAGUCAAAGCCACAGAAGGGCUGUUAACAGGGCACUGUAAGCUCAAUUGGCACUUGAAGCAGAUGGGAUUGUCAGAUUCUGCAGAUCUAAAGUUUUUGUUUGAAUAAUGAAGGCUGACGGGGAAUGGCGCAGAAAAACAAACCAGGAGCUAAUGGAUAUAUAAACGACCCAAAGUAACACAAAUAUCAGGGCACAGACUGCUAGAUGGUUGAGAGAUGUUUUACGAAUGCCAAAAGAAAGAAACGUCCUAAGAGACGCACGCAGUAGAAUAAGAGAAGGAAAGAAGAGGGAGACCACGAAGGAAGUGGUUUGAUGCCUUCUGGACGGCUUACGAAGUGAAGUAAAUUAAGAAGAAUCGUCCGUUUUCUUAGUCUAGAUUAACGUGAAAUCACCCACGUAUGUUUAAUAAAGGUACGUUUUCAAUAAAAUGACUCAUAUAAAUAAGUAUAUAUAAGUAUAUAUUAUAUAUGUUAACUAAAAGUUCUACAUUACACAACUUGUGGUUAUGGAAAAACAGAAGAAAUGAACACUGAUCGAAGACACUAUAAUUUGAGCUUAAAUUACCAACUAAACAAUCACAAUAUAUAAAUAAAUGACGUUCUCACUAUAAAAAAUUAUGAAAUGGAAAAAUGAUGAAAGUAAAUUAGUUUUUUUUUAAACAAAUCACCGAAGAACUACGUAAAAAACUUUUUUUGAAAAUCACAGUUUUAACUGCAGUCUACAUUUGUAUACUCGGCACAGCAUUUCUAAAGUCCUUAUAUAUAGAUUAUUUAUUAUACUGGUAGUGAAACGUCCCACUAAAUCUUUUUUCUAAAAUAGUUUAUUCCUGGAAGAGCUGUCUACAUAGAUUUUAGUGGUAACGUUUCCUUAGACAGGGAGCUCUUGUUUUCUUAGAUCCUUUAUUUUUAAGUAUAUAUAAAUAAUUUCUUAAUAAGGAUCAGGUGAAUACUUUUUUUUUUCGUCAACGGACGUACUUUUUUGUGUUAAUACUGAUUUCUGUGCAUCCAGAUCUAAUAUUUUACUUUAUUUGCAGAAUUUUGAGAAAAUUAUUUAAACAUGUGGAACUUGAACAUUUUUAACGAACAUACGAUAAUCAAUCAAAUAAAUCGAUUGAACGUCAUGACUGUUUUGAAUUAUAUUAUUUUUUUCUACGACCAUUUAAUAACAUGCUCAUUAUUCACUAUUUUUGAAUAGAUAAUAACACCAAUUACUUUACCUGUGAGGAAUAUUUCAUUACUCACGGGUUUAAUCAAUCAUAUAGCCUAGUGACCUAUGUGACAGAUAUUAAGGUUGAAACAGACUGUCAUUACGUUACAUGAGCUUGCGUUCUAUUACGUUCCAUUCUUUAAAUUUGAUCCUCACGGAUGUCUUUAUAAGAAUAAUCUUCACGGUCGACGCCUCCUAAUAGUAGGCAACCAACUAUUCAGCCGCGUACUAUUGGCGAACAUUAUUUGUUUUUGUAAAUUUUAAUUUUAAUGAAGAGUAGUUGAUAAUUAAUAUAUAACAUAUGAUUUUUAUAUAGGUAACUUAAAACAAUGGAUUCUCACUUAGACUAUGCAAUACAAAAAAAUGUUAAGUAAAGUGAUAUUCUUAUUAAUAGGUCGGCUAGUAAAAAAUUACUUUAGUUUAGUUAUAUUUAUCAAUAAACGAACGAUGAGUUUUAAAAUACAAUAUUUUUUCUACUAAUAAUAGAAAAAAAGGUCGUAGAAAAAGUAUAGUAUUCCACUCGCAUGUAAUGGCUAUUGCAUGCUCAUUGAAUAUUAUACUAUUACUUUGUUCUAUCGUUUUUUGUCUAUCAAAAUCGUUCCAAUAUUUAAAUAAUCCCUCAUUUUCUAUAGAAGCACAACGUUAUUACUUCUUUACAAAAGUAAUUAAAAUAUUAGGAAUUGUUAUUGUUUUAUGCUACUGCUUAGAUAGAUGUUAGAUGUAUAAAUAAUAAUUUUUGGUUUUCCUUCUAUGUUUGGCCAUUAGUUGGUAAUUGACCUGUAAAAAUACAUUCUGCCAUCAAUGGCUCUUAGUUGAGGCCGUUUUUAAAAAUAAAUGAACAGUUCUUAAACAAGUGACCUAACUCGCUAAUGCCUAAUGUGUACUGUACCAGAAAGACUUUCUAGGAAUGAUAUUAUAUUUAUAAGAAAAAGUUUACAAUUCUACAUUCCCUCCAUUUUCCAAAAAUUGGGAAAUACGGAGUGAAAAAUAUUUUCUCGGGGGUGAAAAAAUAUAAGUCCGGAAUUGAAUAAAAUGACUUAUUCUAAGCAACUUUUGUUCUACAGAAUUUUUUCACCAAGUCAAUAUUUUUCGAAUUAUUUGCCAGCGAGUAUGUUCACUUUUAACAAAAAAAAAAAAACGUGUUUUUGGACGUUUUUUCGCAAAUAACUAAAAAGGAUUAUUUUAUCGAAAAAAAAUGUUCUUAACAAAAAUAUAACUUAUAAGACAGUAACAAAAAUGGUGUAUGCAUGAAGUCUGUAGACCCAGUAGAAGCAGAGUUGUAGCUAAUGAAAAGUAGGUUCUUAUUCGUCAAAUUCCAAAUCGAAUAGUUCAACGUGAAAUAACCAAAAAAUUAGCACUUUUCGAGGAAAACUCAUUAUAACUUUUUUAAAGUGUUUAAAAAAAGGUUUAAUUCUGUUUUUCAAAAAAACUUCUAACGUUAAAAGUAAGUGAGUUACGUUCAAAACAUCGUUGGUCCCUUUUAUUUUUUGAUAAUCACCUCCCUUCUAUUUUCCAAAGAAUUCCGCUUUGGCUGCGCUUUGCUCAUUACCCAUUGGUAUUACCCAUAGGGCCUGCUUUGAAGCCCAAACUGGAUAAGCCUUUCUUCUCGGCCGUAACAGCUUUGGGAGUUUUGGAUACCACUACUUUCUUUUCUAUGGGCUUUACAAUCCUAACGCUUGACUUGGAUGGAGUGAUUUUUGUUUUGGUCUUGCUGAUCAACAUAUUUGAGGUCUUCUGUUUCAGUUUCCAGUUGCGAAAAACCGUCCAAAAACACGUUUUUUUUUGUUAAAAAUGAACAUACUCACUUGCAAAUAACUCGAAAAGUAUUGACUUGGUGAAAAAACUCUAUAGAACAAAAGUUGCUUAGAAUUAGUCAUUUUUAUCCAAUUCCGGACUUAUUUUGAAUGUAUAUUUUUCACCCCCGAGAAGGGGUACUCCCCUCCAUUUUUGUAAAAUGAAGGGGAUGUAGAAUUGUAAACUUUUUCUUAUAUAAUAAUAGACAAUUUCAAUUACCUAUUCCCAAAUUUUCAUCCUUCCUUUAUUUUGUUUGGGGUCAGAUUUUUCUUUGAUGGGGCUACUAUGCAAUGUUUGAUUUUUAUAUUGUAUUAAAAUUGUAUUUUUACAAAAAAAAUAUUUUUAAAACUUAAUGAAUAUCUAUAGGUAAAAUUAAAGAAAUUUGCUUCUGAAUCAAAAUUUGGUGGCAAUAUGCCUACUGAUUCUCUACCAUCAGAUAUUUCUAAGGAUUGAUGAAAACUUGCGAGAAACUGGUAUGUUUAUCGGAGAUUUGAUCGAUAUAAAGGACUUGUCGUUGGAAGUAUUUGACUGAAGAUGAGUGUUUAAAAUGUCCACCAUUUUCCAUAAAAAUAUAACAGUAUAUAGCCUUAAUUCUAUUUUACCCUUUCAAUUAUUUUUUUUCUAUUAUUCUAUUAUUUAUUUUCGUUGAAUGUUCGUGACACAAUUUCGUUACUUUAAAAUUUCAUUCACUGUUUGUCUAUUCAUUUUUCUUGGUUGAAGACGUUUUAUUUGGUUGUGCCGAGUUGACUUCCGCUUGUGGCAUGUUGUUGGGUUGUUGAUGUUGUGGCUUUAGAGAUUUUUAGGCUGAUUUGAGAGCUCCUGCACGAGACCUCAAGGCAGCAGUAACCUGAGGUGCAACUUGAGCUUCCUGAUUGUAUUUACUAUCCAUUCUUCGAAUCAGUGUACCAAUUCAGUCUGGGGGUUUCCAUUGUCAUUUCUUCGGUUGCUUGAUGACUGACCACACUUAAGUGUCUUCCUUCUAUGUCCUGGGAGAGAGUUGUUUGUUUUAGUUUUUUUUAUUUAUUUUUUGCUUAAGGCCCUUCAUUUAGUGGGUGUCCAGC
rnacentral:lncRNA from 1 species